rnacentral:rRNA from 1 species
AGCAGCCGCGGUAAUUCCAGCUCCAAUAGCGUAUAUUAAAGUUGCUGCAGUUAAAAAGCUCGUAGUUGAAUUUCGGGACCGAUAUAUCGGUCGUGCCUCGGUACGUACUGGUAUUUUCGGUUUCUACCUUCUGACGAACCUUGAUGUCAUUAAUUUGGUGUCUUGGGGAAUCAGGACUGUUACUUUGAAAAAAUUAGAGUGUUUAAAGCAGGCUCACGCUUGAAUACAUUAGCAUGGAAUAAUGAAAUAGGACGUUUGAUUCUAUUUUGUUGGUUUCUAGGAUCGACGUAAUGAUUAAUAGGGGUAGUUGGGGGCAUUAGUAUUCAAUUGUCAGAGGUGAAAUUCUUGGAUUUAUUGAAGACUAACUACUGCGAAAGCAUUUGCCAAGGAUGUUUUCAUUAAUCAAGAACGAAAGUUAGGGGAUCGAAGACGAUCAGAUACCGUCGUAGUCUUAACCAUAAACUAUGCCGACUAGGGAUCGGAUGAUGUUAAUUUUUUAUGACUCAUUCGGCGCCUUACG